AGUCGCAGCAGAGUUCUGCGAAAUCCAGACUUUGGUUAAUGAACAAAGGAGAACUGCCAAGUCAUUGGGCUGAGAUCCCCUCAUCUCAUAAUCGCUCCCUUUGUUUUUCCAACUUCAGUCUCCGUCCAGUAUGUGUGUGUGUUAGUCUUUUUUUCCCCUCCCUCCUGUCUUCUGCUUCUCUGUUCUCUUUGUUUGUUAUAUCAUGAUCUGUAAUUCUUAUAUGCACGCUUGCACGUGUGCUCGUCAAAAUUUGUUAUUUGUUGCUCUUACUUUUUCCUGUCUUAUAUACCCAUUUUUUGUGAAUCUUUCCACAUCUGCAGCUGGAACAAAAACAACAACCCUGAGCCUGGAACAAGCUGGAUCCAACCUUCCAGUAUAAGUUCGUGGCCAUCAACACAGACUACAAGAACCUGAAGAAGGAGGGGCCCGACUUCUAAAGGUCCUCCAGGGAACUCCAGGGGUACCAAAGUUUUUGGCAGGACCUCCAGCUGUCACCUCACCGAUGGCAAAACUUCCUCCUGAACAUUUCAUCUGGAUAACCUUGCAGAGCAGCUCUGAAUUAAUGCUGAAGUGUGGACAAGAAAGAAAUAAAGCUCAGACCAGCGAUGAUACAGCAGACCGUUUUUAGAGUACGACCGGUGUUGUAGUUACCCUUUUAGAGGACAACGACACGGGCCUGGCUUGAUUCUGAGAACUAUGGAAGAGCAAGAUGUCAGUUCAGCUUUAAAAAGAAAAGAAAAAAGUUAUAACCAUUUUGCAUUGACUAUGCAAAAGGUGAAAGUAUCUCAAGCAUCUGAUCUGAUCUGUUGUUAGCGUCUAAACUAGAAGGGAAGCGGGUAGGGACAUGUGGAAACUUACGGAAGCGUAUUGCAUUCACUUGGAAAAAAAUUUAAAAAGCUCUUUUUUUUCGCUAUAAUUUUUUCCGCCCUGUUUUUGGGUGUACAUGAUGCAUAUGAAAUGCCUUUAGGCUUUGUGGUGGCCCAAGAGAUGAUCAGGACACUGCUGAAAAUAUUGGAUCUGCACGGUUUGCAGCUGAGGAGACGGAAUCACCUUCGGCGGCGUAUGGGCGUAAAAAAUACCACAAAAAAAACGAAAAAAUUAUCCCGAAAAACAAUGCUUUUUUUUUUUAACUGAAUGCAAUACACUUCCGUAGAAACUCAACUUUUUUCGAAUGGAAAACAAAAAGUGUUGCAAGGAGAAUAGUUAUGAGUCUCAUUAGGGCUGUGCGAUUCAUCGAUUUUAAAUCUAAAUCGAAUGUAUUAAUCAAGACGAUGUUAAAAAAAGGAAAAUCGGAAAAUCGAUUUUCCUUUUUUGCAGCUGGCUGCAUUACAGACAGAGCUCGUCUAGUCAUCUUUGUUUGGUCAAGAAAAUUGUAAAUGUUGUCACUUUACUAAACUCAAGGAGGAUUUACAGUAUCUUUCAAUUGCACUUCAUUCCCAAUAGGGAAAUUUGUUUGCUAUUUUUCUUUAAAAAUAAAGAUAAAAUAUUUGAAACUAUUUAUUUCAUUGUCUUUUGUAGUUUUACCAAAAAAAUCGAAAUCGAAAAUCGGGUUUUCAGAGAAAAAAAUCGGGAUUUUAUUUUUGUCCAAAAUCGCCCAGCCCUAAGUCUCAUAUAAAUUGAUUUCCCACUAUUUCACAUUAUUAGUUUUAAUACAUAAACUAGUUGGGGUAAUUAGAGGAGAUACAGUACGUCACACAAUCGAGUUACCCAACAAAUACAGGGUUAACCAUUUCCAGGUCAGUCAUGUAUGUGAUUUAUUAAAGAAAUCCCAUCUGUUGAAAACUGGGUCCACCACAGGCCCACAUCGACACAAAUGUCUCAUUUCAUUUUCACCGUACAGUAAAACAACUGGUCUGCAUGUGUUUCCACCUAUCGACAGCCCUUUACAUUUGUCUCCUCGUCUCUGUUCUGUCACUUUCUGUGUUGUACCACACAGACUUCCAAUAAAGCUUUUGUCAUUUA